GGGGCCAGGCGGCUCCUACCAUGCAGNCGAACGAAGUAGCAAUACUUAGGUGGCACACGGGAGAGUAACAUGUAGGUAUCUACCCUAUGGCCUGGAAUAACACGAGGAAACUUGUGCUAAUACGUGGAUAAUUCUUUACGGACAAAGCUUUAUGCACCAUUGGAUGACCCUGCACUUGAUUAUUUUGUUGGGGGGGAAAUGGCCUACCAAGACUGUGAUCAAUACCUGAUUUGAGAGGAUGAUCAGCCACAUUGGGACUGAGACACAGCCCACACUCCUACAGGAGGCAGCAGUGGGGAAUCUUGCACAAUGGAGGAAACUCUGAUGCAGCAAUGCCGCGUGAGUGAAGAACGCCUUUGGGUUGUAAAGCUCUUUCGUCGGGGAAGAAAAUGACUGUACCCGAAUAAGAAGGUCCGGCUAACUUCGUGCCAUCAGCCUCGGUAAUACAAAGGGACCUAACGUACUUCGGAAUUACUGGGCUUAAACAGUUCGUAUGUGGUUGAAAAAGUUGGUGGUGAAAUCCCAUAGCUUAACUCUGGAACUGCCAUCAAAACUUUUCAGCUAGAGUAUGAUACAGGAAAGCACAGUUUCUAGUGUAGAGGUGAAAUUCAUAGAUAUUAGAAAGAAUACCAAUUGCAAACGCGGCUUUCUGGAUCAUUACUGACACUGAGGAACGAAAGCAUGUGUAGCGAACAGGAUUAGAUACCCUCGUAGUCCAUGCCGUACACGAUGUGUGUUAGACGUUGGAAAUUUAUUUUCUGUGUCGCAGUGAAAGCGAUAAACACACCGCCUGUUGAGUACGACCGCGAGUGUUAAACUC
rnacentral:rRNA from 1 species